ACAGGUUGUCCGUGGCUGUCCGUCAGCACACACAGAACGUCCGUAGCUGUCCAUUAGUACACAUAUGAGCACGCUGGUUCUUCCCUUGGCUGAUUUUCGACAACCAUAGACUGUCCAUGGACUGCCGAUCAGUACAUAUAUCAGCACUCUGACCACACAUAUCUGCAUGCUCGUCCUUCCCAUGAACUGUUCGUGUACUGAUUUUGGACAACUGAUGUACCAUGUCUGUACAAAUAUAAGCAUGCUGGCCCAUUCCGGGAACUGUUUGUGUACUGAUCUGGACAUGAGCUCGAGUGUUAAUGGACUGGACUGUCCUAGUCAGUCUGAUAGAUGCUAGCCCGAGUUCUAAUGAACUGAUGGUCCAAGUGUACUUAUGCUGGCUCGACUUUUCAUAAUCCCACCAAGUGUUAACAUUUUUCCCUUGGUUUUUAUUGUGGUAUGAUCGAGGCCAAGCGUACUGAAGGGAUGAAUGAAAACUCUUUUGGGUUUUAAUUCUCCCAUCAGGAUGCUUUUGGCCGAGACUUGUGCACAUGCGGGCUUCAUUUCAUCGGCCAAUCUGAAAUAUUAGGGCGAGAGUUAAUUUCACCAAGUAAUAAUUUUGAACCUCUGACGACAUCUUCUUAUAUACUUUUUUGGGUUUUUUGUUUUUAACGUUUUGGGGCGGAACAACGUGUGAUUGGAAAGGGGGAGGAUCGAAUCUUAGUGACAAAGGGCUGAAUCUCAGUGGAACGUGGCAGCAAGGCCACUCUGCCACUUAGAAUACCUCGUCGCGUAUUUAAUUCGUCUGCAAAGGAUUCUACCCGCCGCUCGGUGGUAAUUAUUAUUCAAGGCUGAAGGACCCUAAGAUCGGCUCACUCGAAUGGAUCAUAUUUGGAUAUGAACUACGGAUGGAGAACUGAAUAGAUUGAAGGUUCGCACGAAGGUUACGGAAAGGCCUUCGAUAUUAUCGACUCCAAAUGGUGCUUGAUAUGACUCACAAGACCACCAAGUGAAGGAUCUCUCAUCGUUGCUUGAUAUGACUCACAAGACCAACUAUUUGAGGAAGUGUUUACUUGGAUAUGACUCACCAAGAAACUAAGAACAAGUUC